GGGGACGUAGCUCAGCUGGGAGAGCGCCUGCUUUGCAAGCAGGAAGUCAGGGGUUCGAAUCCCCUCGUCUCCACCA
rnacentral:tRNA from 9 species